CACAGAGGUCCCAAGCGUUGUUCGGAUUCACUGGGCGUAAAGGGUGCGUAGGUGGUUAGGUAAGUCCGAUGUGAAAUCUCCAGGCUCAACCUGGAAAUGGCAUUGGAUACUAUCUAGCUUGAGGAGUGGAGGGGGGACUGGAAUUCUCGGUGUAGCAGUGAAAUGCGUAGAUAUCGAGAGGAACACCAGUGGCGAAGGCGAGUCCCUGGACACUUCCUGACACUGAGGCACGAAAGCUAGGGGAGCAAACAGG
rnacentral:rRNA from 1 species